rnacentral:rRNA from 1 species
CGCUGGCGGCAGGCCUUAUACAUGCAAGUCGAGCGCAUCCUUCGGGAUGAGCGGCGGACGGGUGAGUAACGCGUGGGAAUGUGCCCUUCUCUACGGAAUAGCCACUGGAAACGGUGAGUAAUACCGUAUACGCCCUCAGGGGAAAAGAUUUAUCGGAGAAGGAUCAGCCCGCGUUAGAUUAGGUAGUUGGUGGGGUAACGGCCUACCAAGCCUACGAUCUAUAGCUGGUUUUAGAGGAUGAUCAGCCACACUGGGACUGAGACACGGCCCAGACUCCUACGGGAGGCAGCAGUAGGGAAUCUUGGACAAUGGGGGCAACCCUGAUCCAGCCAUGCCGCGUGAGUGAAGAAGGCC